rnacentral:rRNA from 1 species
AGUGAACGCUGGCGGCAGGCCUAACACAUGCAAGUCGAACGGCAGCACAGUAAGAGCUUGCUCUUACGGGUGGCGAGUGGCGGACGGGUGCGGAAUACAUCGGAAUCUACUUUUUCGUGGGGGAUAACGUAGGGAAACUUACGCCAAUACCGCAUACGACCUACGGGGGAAAGCAGGGGAUCUUCGGACCUUGCGCGAGUGUAUGAGCCGAUGUCGGAUUAGCUAGUUGGAGGGUUAAAGGCCCACCAAGGCGACGCUCCGUAGCGGGUCUGAGAGGAGAAUCGGCCAACCUGAAACUGAGACACGUCCCAGACUCUAACGGGAGGCAGAAGUGGGAAUAUUGGACAAUGGGCGCAAGCCUGAUCCAGCCAUGCCGCGUGGGUGAAGAAGGCCUUCGGAUUGUAAAGCCCUUUUAGUUGGAAGGAAAAGCAGUAAGUUAAUACCUCGCUGUUUUGACGGUACCCACAGAAUAAGCACCGGCUAACUUCGUG